rnacentral:rRNA from 1 species
GGAAUAUUGCACAAUGGGGGAAACCCUGAUGCAGCGACGCCGCGUGAGCGAAGAAGUAUUUCGGUAUGUAAAGCUCUAUCAGCAAGGAAGAUAAUGACGGUACUUGACUAAGAAGCUCCGGCUAAAUACGUGCCAGCAGCCGCGGUAAUACGUAGGGGGCAAGCGUUAUCCGGAUUUACUGGGUGUAAAGGGAGCGUAGACGGUAAUGCAAGUCUGGAGUGAAAUGCAGGGGCUCAACCCCUGAACUGCUUUGGAAACUGUAUGACUGGAGUGCAGGAGAGGUAAGUGGAAUUCCUAGUGUAGCGGUGAAAUGCGUAGAUAUUAGGAGGAACACCAGUGGCAAAGGCGGCUUACUGGACUGUAACUGACGUUGAGGCUCGAAAGCGUGGGGAGCAAAC